GAGGGUAUAGCUCAGUGGUAGAGUGCUUGCCUAGCAAGCAUAAGGUCCUGAGUUCAAUCCUCAGUGCCUCCA
rnacentral:tRNA from 1 species